GGGGGGUUUAGCUCUGCUAAGGGCAAGGGCCGUCCAGGAACCGCGCCCUUGGCGCGGGUCAAGGGCCCGGGGACCUUUACCGUGCGAUGCCAGCGUGUGCCGGGCAGGGCAGCUCCAGCCUGCGUCUGCGUUGUGGUGUAGUUCGGGAAGCCUGCCUUGCGCCUGUCAGCCGAUCCUGGGGUCUCGUUGCGUUCGAGGGGCACGGAAGGCCUCUCGGGUGCCACCCCGGGAUCUGGAACGCCGGUGCCGAUCGGCGUAGCGCCGAUCGGGCGCUGGUUUUCUGGUGUCGGCAGCCGAAAGCGUGGCGCGUUCUUGCCUUUCGGCCGUUUCUGGUCAGGGCUGAUUGUGGCGUUGUCCUGGGCUGUGCCGGCAGCUCUAGCCAUCCAGUCUCAGGGACUGGAACUUCAAGAUGCUGGGAAGAAGUUCUUAGGUUUUUCAUCAGCUUCUCGUUUGGUUGCGACGUCUCUGCUCGGUUGUGGCGCUGCCGCCGUCUCGUCAGGAGCCGUGACGUCGGGCUCCUUUUCCGUUUGAGGAUGCAGGAGAGGCUCCUCUCCUCCCCGUAGAUUAUUGGGAUCGAUGCCCUUCUGGUCUCGGAGCGUCGUGUUCGUCGUGGAGCGUUUUUGGCGCUGUGGCCGUCGCGUGGUCUAUAAGGUUCUGCGGAGCGUCUGUCGGCCCGGGUGCGCGUUUGGCUCGGAGCUGCUCUGCCCGGACGCGUAGAGGCAGGGGAGGGUGGACGGAGCUCUGGCGGUCCCCGGCUAACCUGCUGACGCGUUGAAUUGCGUGGGCAGAGGCGGCGCGGUCAUCUGGGAUGGAGUAGCCGUGGGCAGGGGAGCGGAGGGUCCCCGCGCAGGCGUUUGAGAGCCUCCACGAGAGCUUGGGACGUUAUUGCGCCACAGAAAGCAGACCUGUGGGCUGGUCAGGCUGUCGAUGGGCUGCUGGGUGACUUGCAGAAUCACCUGAUUUCAGGAGCAGAGGGACAACUUGGCCCGGAAGAGCGACGGAGGAGGCGAGCUGUGCGCCGUAAGCAGGUGGGUCGGUGGGUGGUGCCAGAGGGGAGCUGUGCCGUGUGGCUCUAGCUAAGCUCGGUCGUUUCUCUGUUUCCUAGGUGCGAAGCGAAGAGGAAAGCGGGCUGUCGGCAGCUCAGCUCCUCGGGCCAGGUGAGCACGGAGUGCUGGGCCGAAGCGGCAGCUCGUUUCAGGUCCCGUGUUGCUGGCGCGGGUCCGAGCGUCCUUUGGUGGUGUUUUACAGGCGGCAGCUGAGCGUCUCGGCGGUCCGCGGCGUGGCAGUCCAAAGCAAGGGCGGCCGGGUGGGCGAGCGGCCCAGGUAAGGGAGGGCGAGCUGGGACCGUCUGCGGACAGGCUGUGUUUUCGGGCGGCGUCCGAGCGCGUGCCUCUGGUUUUGCGGGUGCCGCAGACGAGCCGGCAGGGGCGAAGCCGCACGCCGGCCGGCAGCCGAGAAGGUGAGGCGGCGGUGGGCGUUGCGGAGCCCGGUAUUGCCCGGUCUCUCGCUUCAUCUUUUCCUUCUCGCUUUGCAGGCGCUUUGUGGGCCCUCUGGACCGGGAGGAGCAUUUGCGGUGAGCCGGGCUAGGGGCGAGGAGGAGCGUGGGGCCGGGGACUCGUUCCCGGCGCCACGGUUUUUUUUGAUUCUCGCCGUCGUAGGCGUCACCAGCGCUGAGGGUUUGUGACCGCGCCAGCGGCAGGACACGCCGACCGGACCGCCCUGGAGCUCAGCAGGAGGUGGGUGUCGCGGACGGACUCGGCGUUUGCCCCGCGGCGCCGUGUGCCGGCGUGGCUUAGCGAGCGCGUGCUUUCUCGUGCUCCUGCAGGCGCUGAAGAGGAACCCGGCGACGCGGGAAGACGGCCGUUGGCGCACGUGGCGUUUUCCUCUGCCGAAGAUGGGUUCGGACCCUCGGCCCUCUGAAAGCUAAGUGGAGGCGCGAGGGCUGGGAAGGGGCCGGGAAUGGCAGGGCCGGGGGGUUUAGCUCUGCUAAGGGCAAGGGCCGUCCAGGAACCGCGCCCUUGGCGCGGGUCAAGGGCCCGGGGACCUUUACCGUGCGAUGCCAGCGUGUGCCGGGCAGGGCAGCUCCAGCCUGCGUCUGCGUUGUGGUGUAGUUCGGGAAGCCUGCCUUGCGCCUGUCAGCCGAUCCUGGGGUCUCGUUGCGUUCGAGGGGCACGGAAGGCCUCUCGGGUGCCACCCCGGGAUCUGGAACGCCGGUGCCCAUCGGCGUAGCGCCCAUCGGGCGCUGGUUUUCUGGUGUCGGCAGCCGAAAGCGUGGCGGGUUCUUGCCUUUGGGCCGUUUCUGGUCAGGGCUGAUUGUGGCGUUGUCCUGGGCUGUGCCGGCAGCUCUAGCCAUCCAGUCUCAGGGACUGGAACUUCAAGAUGCUGGGAAGAAGUUCUUAGGUUUUUCAUCAGCUUCUCGUUUGGUUGCGACGUCUCUGCUCGGUUGUGGCGCUGCCGCCGUCUCGUCAGGAGCCGUGACGUCGGGCUCCUUUUCCGUUUGAGGAUGCAGGAGAGGCUCCUCUCCUCCCCGUAGAUUAUUGGGAUCGAUGCCCUUCUGGUCUCGGAGCGUCGUGUUCGUCGUGGAGCGUUUUUGGCGCUGUGGCCGUCGCGUGGUCUAUAAGGUUCUGCGGAGCGUCUGUCGACCCGGGUGCGCGAUUGGCUCGGAGCUGCUCUGCCCGGACGCGUAGAGGCAGGGGAGGGUGGACGGAGCUCUGGCGGUCCCCGGUUAACCUGCUGACGCGUUGAAUUGCGUGGGCAGAGGCGGCGCGGUCAUCUGGGAUGGAGUAGCCGUGGGCAGGGGAGCGGAGGGUCCCCGCGCAGGCGUUUGAGAGCCUCCACGAGAGCUUGGGACGUUAUUGCGCCACAGAAAGCAGACCUGUGGGCUGGUCAGGCUGUCGAUGGGCUGCUGGGUGACUUGCAGAAUCACCUGAUUUCAGGAGCAGAGGGACAACUUGGCCCGGAAGAGCGACGGAGGAGGCGAGCUGUGCGCCGUAAGCAGGUGGGUCGGUGGGUGGUGCCAGAGGGGAGCUGUGCCGUGUGGCUCUAGCUAAGCUCGGUCGUUUCUCUGUUUCCUAGGUGCGAAGCGAAGAGGAAAGCGGGCUGUCGGCAGCUCAGCUCCACGGGCCAGGCGGCAGCUGAGCGUCUCGGCGGUCCGCGGCGUGGCAGUCCAAAGCAAGGGCGGCCGGGUGGGCGAGCGGCCCAGGUAAGGGAGGGCGAGCUGGGACCGUCUGCGGACAGGCUGUGUUUUCGGGCGGCGUCCGAGCGCGUGCCUCUGGUUUUGCGGGUGCCGCAGACGAGCCGGCAGCCGAGAAGGUGAGGCGGCGGUGGGCGUUGCGGAGCCCGGUAUUGCCCGGUCUCUCGCUUCAUCUUUUCCUUCUCGCUUUGCAGGCGCUUUGUGGGCCCUCUGGACCGGGAGGAGCAUUUGCGGUGAGCCGGGCUAGGGGCGAGGAGGAGCGUGGGGCCGGGGACUCGUUCCCGGCGCCACGGUUUUUUUUUGCUUCUCGCCGUCGUAGGCGUCACCAGCGCUGAGGGUUUGUGACCGCGCCAGCGGCAGGACACGCCGACCGGACCGCCCUGGAGCUCAGCAGGAGGCGCUGAAGAGGAACCCGGCGACGCGGGAAGACGGCCGUUGGCGCACGUGGCGUUUUCCUCUGCCGAAGAUGGGUUCGGACCCUCGGCCCUCUGAAAGCUAAGUGGAGGCGCGAGGGCUGGGAAGGGGCCGGGAAUGGCAGGGCCGGGGGGUUUAGCUCUGCUAAGGGCAAGGGCCGUCCAGGAACCGCGCCCUUGGCGCGGGUCAAGGGCCCGGGGACCUUUACCGUGCGAUGCCAGCGUGUGCCGGGCAGGGCAGCUCCAGCCUGCGUCUGCGUUGUGGUGUAGUUCAGGAAGCCUGCCUUGCGCCUGUCAGCCGAUCCUGGGGUCUCGUUGCGUUCGAGGGGCACGGAAGGCCUCUCGGGUGCCACCCCGGGAUCUGGAACGCCGGUGCCCAUCGGCGUAGCGCCGAUCGGGCGCUGGUUUUCUGGUGUCGGCAGCCGAAAGCGUGGCGGGUUCUUGCCUUUGGGCCGUUUCUGGUCAGGGCUGAUUGUGGCGUUGUCCUGGGCUGUGCCGGCAGCUCUAGCCAUCCAGUCUCAGGGACUGGAACUUCAAGAUGCUGGGAAGAAGUUCUUAGGUUUUUCAUCAGCUUCUCGUUUGGUUGCGACGUCUCUGCUCGGUUGUGGCGCUGCCGCCGUCUCGUCAGGAGCCGUGACGUCGGGCUCCUUUUCCGUUUGAGGAUGCAGGAGAGGCUCCUCUCCUCCCCGUAGAUUAUUGGGAUCGAUGCCCUUCUGGUCUCGGAGCGUCGUGUUCGUCGUGGAGCGUUUUUGGCGCUGUGGCCGUCGCGUGGUCUAUAAGGUUCUGCGGAGCGUCUGUCGACCCGGGUGCGCGAUUGGCUCGGAGCUGCUCUGCCCGGACGCGUAGAGGCAGGGGAGGGUGGACGGAGCUCUGGCGGUCCCCGGUUAACCUGCUGACGCGUUGAAUUGCGUGGGCAGAGGCGGCGCGGUCAUCUGGGAUGGAGUAGCCGUGGGCAGGGGAGCGGAGGGUCCCCGCGCAGGCGUUUGAGAGCCUCCACGAGAGCUUGGGACGUUAUUGCGCCACAGAAAGCAGACCUGUGGGCUGGUCAGGCUGUCGAUGGGCUGCUGGGUGACUUGCAGAAUCACCUGAUUUCAGGAGCAGAGGGACAACUUGGCCCGGAAGAGCGACGGAGGAGGCGAGCUGUGCGCCGUAAGCAGGUGGGUCGGUGGGUGGUGCCAGAGGGGAGCUGUGCCGUGUGGCUCUAGCUAAGCUCGGUCGUUUCUCUGUUUCCUAGGUGCGAAGCGAAGAGGAAAGCGGGCUGUCGGCAGCUCAGCUCCACGGGCCAGGCGGCAGCUGAGCGUCUCGGCGGUCCGCGGCGUGGCAGUCAAAAGCAAGGGCGGCCGGGUGGGCGAGCGGCCCAGGUAAGGGAGGGCGAGCUGGGACCGUCUGCGGACAGGCUGUGUUUUCGGGCGGCGUCCGAGCGCGUGCCUCUGGUUUUGCGGGUGCCGCAGACGAGCCGGCAGCCGAGAAGGUGAGGCGGCGGUGGGCGUUGCGGAGCCCGGUAUUGCCCGGUCUCUCGCUUCAUCUUUUCCUUCUCGCUUUGCAGGCGCUUUGUGGGCCCUCUGGACCGGGAGGAGCAUUUGCGGUGAGCCGGGCUAGGGGCGAGGAGGAGCGUGGGGCCGGGGACUCGUUCCCGGCGCCACGGUUUUUUUUGAUUCUCGCCGUCGUAGGCGUCACCAGCGCUGAGGGUUUGUGACCGCGCCAGCGGCAGGACACGCCGACCGGACCGCCCUGGAGCUCAGC